GCCGCCAUCGUUCCCGAUGGUAAUUUCCAUCGAAAGACGUCACGUUCUCAACGUGAAGAUCACCGGUUCAAAUCCGGUCGGGGGUA
rnacentral:tRNA from 1 species